rnacentral:rRNA from 1 species
GAUGAACGCUGGCGGCGUGCCUAAUACAUGCAAGUCGAGCGAACAGACGAGGAGCUUGCUCCUCUGACGUUAGCGGCGGACGGGUGAGUAACACGUGGAUAACCUACCUAUAAGACUGGGUUAACUUCGGGAAACCGGAGCUAAUACCGGAUAAUAUAUUGAACCGCAUGGUUCAAUAGUGAAAGACGGUUUUGUUGUCACUUAUAAAUGGAUCCGCGCCGCAUUAGCUAGUUGGUAAGGUAACGGCUUACCAAGGCAACGAUGCGUAGCCGACCUGAGAGGGUGAUCGGCCACACUGGAACUGAGACACGGUCCAGACUCCUACGGGAGGCAGCAGUAGGGAAUCUUCCGCAAUGGGCGAAAGCCUGACGGAGCAACGCCGCGUGAGUGAUGAAGGUCUUCGGAUCGUAAAACUCUGUUAUUAGGGAAGAACAAAUGUGUAAGUAACUAUGCACGUCUUGACGGUACCUAAUCAGAAAGCCACGGCUAACUACGUG